CUAGUAUUAUGCGCAUGCGCGGGCGGCGCGGCCCCUUUUUUUGCCGCGAUUUUUUAUGUUUAUACUAUAGAGGCUUCCGUAGGGGAGGAGCUAUGGAAAGGGAUUAGCCGUCCGUGUGAAGGUGAUUAUUGCCUCGUUUUUUGUUUAUUUUUUGUGCACAAGCUAUUUGGAGCCUGGUUUCUUCACUGGGUUUACAGUGGAGUUAAAUAACAUUUUUUGGCAUAUUGUUUGAGGAGAGGUUAUAACAUUUGCCAAUAGACAAUAUAGCGACCGCUGGUAUUUGUAGUGCGCAUGCACGCGACAUUUAUGUUAAUAAGGACAUCUAGGGAUAUAUGUAUUAUAUGGUAAAAGGAUGCCUGUACAUGUAUGGGAGAAUUUAUUUGUGAUUAGCACUGUGAGUAUAUGGUACACAUGUUAUAAUUAUGCACACAGGGCUGUGAUUUGAAGUGAUGAUGUCACUUCUGGUUUCGGCCCUCUGCGGUAUUACUGAUGGCCAUCAGCUGUAAGUAAUUUGUACAUGUGGGUAUAUAAGGGGGUCCUGGAUAAUGUGAUGAUAUAGCUACCCUUGAUAAAGGCUACCAUGAGGAGCCGAAACGUUGGGGGAUUGUUUAUGACUCGUGUUUCUGCCCAGAUAGGCUUGUGGAAUUUGGUAAAUAUACCUGUUUAGUUGUUUAGCCUAUGUGGUCACUGUUGUAUAUAUUGUUUAUACUUGUAUUGUAAUUAAUAAAUAUAUAUAUGGAUAGAUACUGUUGUAUCAGUUGGUGUGCAUUCCUUGAUUUUUGAAGGUAAAACAGUGAAGCACUAUAUACUUGUAAAGUGCAACCAAUGUGCUAAGUGCAAAAUAGCCAAAGGAUAUUAACUUAACUGGCAGAAAUGACCAUUUGUAGCGUGCCAGCAAGUAUACCUUAAAAGGGAAAUCGAUACAAAAUAGUGUAAAACCUUAAUAGUAGCAUGUCAAACUUGCGGCCCACGGGUGUUAUAGCAGAAUAGUCAUCUGCUUUCCCCACAUUGCAGGUGUCUACUCUGCUAACACUUACCCGGCCAGGGAGGAUGGGAUGGUGGAUGCAGCAAAGGAGCUCAGCCUUCUUGCUCCUCACUGCUCCCUCCCACGCACCGUCUGUAGUGAAGUGGGGCACCGGAAUAUGACGUCAUAUUCCGGAACCCGGCAUCACUAAAUCACACAAGGGAGCAGUGAGUAGAUAAUCCCCACACCAGCUCCCAAAGGUAGGGAACAAUAAAUUAUAUGGUGUGUAUGUCUGUAUGUCUGUCAGUGUGUGUCUGUGUUAGUGAGAAUGUGUGUCUGUCUGUGAGUGAGUGUGUCUGUCUGUGAGUAUGUGUGUGUCUGUCUGUCAGUGAGUAUGUGCAUCUGUCAGUGAGUGUGUCUGUCAGUAAGUAUGUGUGUGUCUGUGUGUGUCUGUCAGUAAGUAUGUGUGUCUGUUAGUUAGUGAGUGUGUGUGUCUGUAUGUGUGUGUCUGUCAGUGAGUAUGUGCGUGUCUGUCAGUGAGUGUGUGUGUGUGUCUGUGACUGUGUGUGUGUCUGUCAGUGAGUACGUGUGUGUCUGUCAGUGUGUGUCUGUAUGUGUGUGUCUGUGUGUCUGUAUGUGUCUGUCAGUGAGUGUGUGUUGUUUUGGAUCAAAGAAAACUUUGAUUAUUUGUCUAUCUACACCUUCCAAAUUGAUUAAUUAAUGCGUGCACGCUUUCCCUAGAAGUAAUUCACACCGGAGACAAAGUUUCUGAUCAGUGAAAAACCCAGGAAUGCUUUAUUCCCCGGAGUGGGGGCUCCUUCUUAAAGCAAAAAUACGUCACAGUUUAAACAUACAGUAUACAUUCACCAAUUGGUUAACAGAGAAAGGGGGCUCUUGUUUAAACCCCCCUACAGAAUGUAGUGUCAUCAUUACACACUUUUGGAUACACGAUGGGAGGGGGAGUGAGUGGUAUCUAUCAGUUCUAAACCAAUGAUCCUCCAUUUAGCUAUAUAUGGCAUAUAGCUGUUAACUGGCACAAAGGUAGUGGGGGAGGGGAGGCUAGCAGGAUGUGAGGAAUUUACAUAGUAAACAGCAGCUGACCACAUUGUAGGGGGGGAAGGGAAUAUUUACUCUAGAAGCCAGUUUUAACAUAGUGAACAGAGAAUAAAUAGACAUUAGUAAAUAGCCAUUUUAUUUUAAUUCAUCUGUCCAUAACAGUCCCCCCUUAAAAUGGCAAUUUUUACUAAAACUACUAUCUCUCAUUCUAAUACUGUCCCUAUAGAAAAAUAACAAAAGGCUAUCUUGCACAUCUGUCUGAACAGGCCUCGAACACUUCACUGCGCGGGUACCCCAUAGCAGCUUGUCCACUACUUCUCCCGCGGCAGACUUCUGCCCGUAGAGACAGACGCUAUCCCUAAAUGUCCUUAAGAGGAAGUAGCUGUUGAUUUAGUGCGGUGGGACUGUAAGGGUGUAUGUGGUGUAUCACGGUCGAUAUCGUCAAUCUCUUGGUGAAGGAAGGUCGGGGUGGUCUGGUCGAUUGCCUGAUCAACUGUCUUUUGUAGGCAUUUCUUAAGACAGGGUAACACACAACAAACAAGAAGAGCGAGGAUGAUUAUCGUUAUUAAAAUGGCAACACCUAUUUGGGCCAGAGCACCUUGCCAUUCAGACAUCCAUCCAAACCAUCUUUCCCAUGGAUCUGUGGCCCCAGAAUUUCGUUUCAGUUCAUUGGACAAACUCUUUAACUUUUCUAUUGCCAACGUUACCUUACCAUUAGGGCCUGUAUUAUCUGGAAUAUAGGUACAGCAUGUCAUGGUGUCUGGGAGUAUUUUACAUACUCUCCCUUUUUCUGCUAAAAUCAUUUCCAAGCUUAUUCUAUUCUGGAAGGUCAUCUGAGAGAUAGUUUGUAACCGCCCUAUCCCACCAUAUAUCCCAUAACAAGUAUAGUUCCCGGGCUAUAUAGUAAUGCCUUCGUCUGGGUUAAUAUUUUUAGUAAUGAUUGGGUAUUAAGUUUCCAUGACUCGCAUGCUGACCGCUUAGGUUUAAAUACAGUGUAGAGACUUAAAACGCAUACUUCAUAUCCGGAGGAAGGUUCAGGGAUACUGUACCUGGGUGAGGCCUCGCUCCUCUGCAGACAUAGCAGUUAGACUUGUUAUGUUUAGUAGCAUUGUAUUUCAUCCAUUCAAGUCACAAGUUAGUGUCAGAGAAACCUGUCUCUACAGCCCUCUUAUCCUCAAAUAUGGGAUGACUACCAUGUCUUUUAAAGUCCUAAUGUGUGGUUUGAGGGGAUUAACAGUCAUGUGCGUGGCACCUACCCAUUCAGCUGAGUCAUACAUGUCCUGUAAGAAAAAGGUCUAUUAGCCGUAAUGCUUGGGAGAAUAGAUUCAAACUUAGAUUCUUACCUUAAAAUUAUUUGGUACCCCCCUUGACACCCCUAUGGCAUUAAUAUACAUAUAUAUAUAUAUAUGUGUGGGUAAAACCACCCUUUAUAGGGGUACUCCUUUUUGUCCUGAAGCAUGAAUGAGGUGUGUCAAGAGUACCUUGGGGAUUGUCAUGUGUUAUGUGUAUGGACAUAAUAACCUAGGCUAGGGCACAUUUACUUAUUCUUAGAAAUCUUGUCUCAUGCUACCCUAGUACUGGCAGAUUCAGAUCAUUUAAACAUUUAAUAUUAAUAUCACCACAAACUCAAGAUAAGCAGAUGAUCUUGAAGAAGCUUUGACUGUGCGUAUGGCACCUCAGACGUGAGGGCUGCAGGGUAAGGAGUAUGUUUGUUUCUCUUUAGUUUCACGAGGUCCCCUUUUGGGGUAUUCAGCUUUCCAUCGAUGGCAGGUGGUCAGGCAUUAUUAUGGCCAUCAAAACACCCACUUGUUGAUAUUUAUUUAUUUAUUUUCAACAAGUAUCUUUGUUCUCUAAGAAUGGAGUUUCAAAAAGGGUUGUCAAGAUCAACAAAUGUUACUUCACAUGAUGCAGAGGCAGGCUUGAUUCUGGAAUGAUGAACCCACGGGGUGAUCUCUGUAUCUUUCACGGUGCACUACUCAGCAUGUGGUCUUGGUUAUCACUUUGGUGGCUGGAUAGGCCUCUGGCCAUCCUGAAAACAUGUCUGCUAUAAUUAGUGCAUAUUUGAAUCAGCCAUUCUUUGGCAUUCUGGCGACUUGACUCCUCUGGAAGAGAUAAUGAGGUUUGGCUAGAUGCUUGGGGCUUUCAUCCAUUCUUCUUGAGUUGCCCUUGGCACAAAUGGCACAAGAUUUACAGUAACUGUUGGUCAGAGAGGCAAUUCCUGGUACUUCAGAGUAUUUAUUGAUCAAAAGAGUUCAUGAGGGUUCUGGACAGAUGCUCCGUAGGCCCACUGGACCACUGCUGAGUAUAUGUUCUUGGGCAAGUAUAACUUGAGAUUGUUGAAGUACAGCCUGUCUUUAAGAGUUGCCCCUUUCUGUUUCCAGCUUGUGGUUUGUUUGUUUUUUUUCUUUCUUUCCAGGGUCAGUAGCUUGCUUGUUAUUCCUUCGGGAGCUUGAUGUCUGUGGGUAGGAUCUUACAUGGUGAAUAUGGGAGUUUCUUCAGCAGACACUUUUCUGUCCACUUCCCUUAGUGCACUUACAACUUUUUGAACAACUUAGUCAGCCAGAGAGCUGCCACAUGCUUCCUCUGAGUUCAGUCUUCCUUCAGAGAUCUUGCAUGGUGUGAUGGGAGUCUAUAGCUCAGCUUCUUGUGCAGACAUUGUUGAGGUGAGAUACUUGGUCCACUGUAGUGACAGCAAAUCCGGAACAGAACAUAAGAAAAAGGCUAAAAAAAAAAAAAAUAGUCAGUGUCUUAUCAUUUCCCCCCUUGGGAAGUGGCAGAAGAGUGGCCAGGUAAAUAGAGUAUCAUCCCUGCAGGGUGACAUUAUCCUGCACAGAAUUCGUCCAUCACAAGGAGAGGUGGGAUAUUGCAUGGAAAGUCUCAGGUAACCAGGGCAACAUUCGACACCAGAGCCUUAACCUGUUAGGGAAUAGUAAGAGCUUGGACAGGCUUUGGGGCCUGUAUAAUUCAGGUAAAGGUAUUGGGGGAACUAGCUAGGACCCUUGCCUCUUGGUCAGGUUUCACUGUGUGGAACAAAAUAAAUAAUAAGGUGAUAGGGGCCUGCAAGUGGGGGAAGGACAUCUGCACCUAGCAGAUUAAUUGGACAGGUGAAGGUAUCCACAAAGCAAGGCUUAGUUAACAGGCUACUCCAAGGAGAGCCAUCUACACUUAUGCAGGAGACAACAAUGUUAGACAGGAAUGAGGAGUCAGGCAGGCCUUGCUUGGUACAAAUAGAUGUCAUGUGGCCUGCUAUACAAGGCUGCAUAUAGUUAUUGGGCAUGGGCCUUACUAUGUACUAAAACUUAAGUUAAAAGAAAAUUUGGGACAACCUGAAGUGAUGCUUCUCCACAGAUGCUAACUCAUCGUUGAUGACAUUGUUAAUACAGGUAGCCUGAUCAGCCAAUUUAUCUUAGGCUUAAACAAGUCACACCAUGUAGUGGAAUGGGUCAUUAGGAUUCGGGAAAUUCUACAGUAAAAGGGCAUAGUAAGGAUGUACGCGAUGUUACUUUAGGAGUAGGCGUGGCUGUGGAUAGGGGGAAAUCAGCCUUAUCCAUUCCCAUAUAUUAUUUUAUCAUUGUCCUGAAAUUUUACAAGCGUGGUCAGUCUACAUGCCAUUUGAGUCGGCAGCCAUAUUUUAAACAAUCUAUUCCUUUGUUCGUCAUUUAGGCUGUAUCUGUCCACAUUUGACUCAAACAUUCCAGCAUUAGUAAAUGCAUCCACUGACGUGUCAUAAACUGGAAUACAUUUCACAAUUUUCAUUAAUUGUUCAUGUAUUUUCAAAUUAAGUUUUGCAGCUCUGUCUUGAAAUUUAUAUUUCUGCAAAUCACUCUGUGAGGAUACAUUUUCAGUAUCUAUUGGUUCUGGGAUUAGAUUCUGUGUCUGUAUUUUUCUUGUAUUAACACACACUUGCUUAACUUCAUUUCUAAGCUGGCAAAUAAGAUCAUUUCUUAGUUCAACUCUAUCCUCUAAUUCACAGACUGUUUCUGACUGUUUACAGCAUGUGCUCUCUGUUACAUUGUUACACUGUUCAUUUAAAUCUGAUUUGUCUUCUGUUAACCCAUUCAAAUCUAUUUCUUUAUCUGCUGAUUCUAAAUUGUCUUCACCUGCAUUACGUUUACAAAUCAAUGCAUUGUAAGUACAGACUAGUUUCAUAACAUUUCUGAUCUUUUUUUUUUUUUAUUUUAUUUUUUUAUUAACAAACAAUUUCUUGUCAAUUUCACUAUUGGCAAUUUCACAUUGGGUGUAUAAAGAUUGCCACAAAACAGCAUCUGAAUAGCUGCUAUUAAAUGCAAACUGCAAUUUACUUUUCUCUGCGAUAUCAUUUAUAAAUUCCACAAUUCAUUUGUUCCAACAAAAUCUAACUUUCCUUAUUCCAACAUGCCAAUAACCUCUUACUUAACAACAUAUACAAGAUUACACAAAGUUCCUAACUAGGUUAUUCGUCCAGCAAAUAUACCUUGUUUCCCUCACAUUCCUCACUGAGUUUACAAGCAUUUCACCCAUUCACCCCACCCCCCUGUAGCCAAUACUCAUAGCAGUCAGAGCAAGAGAAAGCAACAAAGAAGGAGGGGGGAGGAGGGAGGAAGACUUGCAAGCACAAAGUUUUUUAACCAUGUGAUUGCCUAAGCACAGCUCUCCUUAGGACAAAAGAUAGAAUAGGAGAGUAACGAUACAAAUUGUAUAGAUUACAAUUAACAUAUAUGGUACCCAACAAGACAUACACAGACAAAAGCACAAAAUACAGAUGUAAUUAAAUCACAAAGUUCUUAAAAUAAAUGCCGGCUUAUAAUAAAUCAAAUCACACACACAGAAACACUCAAGCACAUAAACCGCUCCUUUACCGAAGCUUAGCUAUUUAAACUCUUGACCGAGUCUUAAUAAAACAAAGGAACCGCCAGGUUUUUUACCAAACGAGGCCAAAACAUCACUCACUAGCUUCUUUACCAAAGCUUAGCUAAAAUAAUUUUUUUUUUUUUUUAAUUAUUUUAUUUAUUUAUUUUUAAACUCUUGACCGAGUCUCGCAAUAACUUCUUUACCGAAGCUUAGCUAAAAUAAAUAUAGAGCCAGGGGUUUUCCACCAAACCCGAACUUGGCUAAACCUGCAAGUGCUUAACCACACUUGGCAGCAUUAUAUAACAGUAUUAAGCAAGUAGUAAAACAGAUUCUCAAACAGACACUUUCACACAUAAAACUCACACUCAGGACUCAGGCUGUAGAUAGACAAGUGACAGGUUCUAUAUAAAAGGGGACAUUCGGGCAUAUAUAUAUUACCUGUCUGAAGACGUUAAACACCGGAAGCCGAAUGUGAAGGCACGGAGAACAAGAGAAAUCCAAAGAAAGGAAAAUAUAGGUAAGUAACUCAUUUACCAUAUGCAGAGGUGAUCAGGCUCCGUUUCCAAUCUCUGGGAAUCCUUUGCUCUCCUGUCUUGGGAUCUGACGGCUGCCUUAGUAACGUAUCCCUUAAAUGCCCGCAUUCUCCACCAAAUUGUUUUGGAUCAAAGAAAACUUUGAUUAUUUGUCUAUCUACACCUUCCAAAUUGAUUAAUUAAUGCGUGCACGCUUUCCCUAGAAGUAAUUCACACCGGAGACAAAGUUUCUGAUCAGUGAAAAACCCAGGAAUGCUUUAUUCCCCGGAGUGGGGGCUCCUUCUUAAAGCAAAAAUACGUCACAGUUUAAACAUACAGUAUACAUUCACCAAUUGGUUAACAGAGAAAGGGGGCUCUUGUUUAAACCCCCCUACAGAAUGUAGUGUCAUCAUUACACACUUUUGGAUACACGAUGGGAGGGGGAGUGAGUGGUAUCUAUCAGUUCUAAACCAAUGAUCCUCCAUUUAGCUAUAUAUGGCAUAUAGCUGUUAACUGGCACAAAGGUAGUGGGGGAGGGGAGGCUAGCAGGAUGUGAGGAAUUUACAUAGUAAACAGCAGCUGACCACAUUGUAGGGGGGGGAAGGGAAUAUUUACUCUAGAAGCCAGUUUUAACAUAGUGAACAGAGAAUAAAUAGACAUUAGUAAAUAGCCAUUUUAUUUUAAUUCAUCUGUCCAUAACAGUGUGUCUGUAACUAUGUGUGUCAGUAUGUGUGUGUCUGUGUCUGUAUGUGUGUGUAUGUGUGUGUCUGUCAGUGAGUAUGUGCAUGUGUGUCUGUCAGUGAGUGUGUCUGUCAGUGCGUGUAUGUGUGUGUCUGUAUGUGUCUGUGACUAUGUGUGUAUGUCUGUCAGUGAGUGUGUGUGUCUGUGACUGUGUGUGUCUGUUUGUCAGUGUGUAUGUGUGUGUGUCUGUCAGUGAGUAUGUGUGUGUGUGUCUGUCAGUGAGUAUGUGUGUGUGUGUGUGUCUGUCAGUGAGUAUGUGUGUGUGUGUCUGUCAGUGAGUAUGUGUGUGUGUCAGCGAGAGGAUCAGAUUUGGCACAGGGUGGUAGAGGGGGUGCUGUGGUUUAGUAGAGGGGGGACUGGGAUUUAGUAGAGGGGGAUGCUGCUUUUUUUUAAUACUGUACUUUUUAAAAUAAACCUAGGUUUCUAUGAAAAGUUAUUUUUUUUUGCGGCCCACAUAAACUUAAACCUUGUUUAUGUGGCCCGUGCCAGACUUUGAGUUUGACAUGCUUGCCAUAAUACAUAUGAUAAAACAAGAAAUCCAAUAUGGAACACUCACAUGAUCCAGAGCUAAUAAACCUAGCUCUGGUGUGUGUAGCCUUCAGGUCCGUUUAGGCGACCUUCCCAUCUCUUGUGUUGAUUAUUUAAGUGGAUCCUUUUUCUAGUGGUGUAUCUCAAGAUAGAGCUUUGUUUAUAUUAGCUUUCUUUAGUUGCUGCAGCAACUUGUCUUGAGUUAGCCAAUUACAAUUUUUCUGCAAGUUUUUUUUCAGCCACCAUUUGCAUAUCAAUUGCCAUAGGUUCUUCCUUAAUAUAUACAGAGGAGAAAUAGUUGUUUAAAAUUUCUGCCUUUUCCUGGUUUUCAUUAACUAACCCAGUUUUUAGUGUGCCUACAGUUUAAUUUUUUUUAGACUUUAUGUACUUAAAAAUGCUUCGGGUUGGUUUUGCUCUCUUUGGCUAUCAUUUUUUCAUUUUGAAGUUUAGCGAAGCUAAUCGCCUUUGUGCACGCAUUAGUGUCCUUGUAUCUUUUAUAGGAUGCCUCUGAUGUGUCUGAUUUAAAGGACCACUAUAGUGCCAGGAAAACACUCUUUUUCCUGGCACUAUAGUGCCCUGAGGGUGCCCCCACCCUCAGGGUCCCCCUCCCGCCGGGCUCUAGGGUGAGGAAGGGGUUAAACAUACCUCUUUCUCCAGCGCUGGGCGGGGAACUCUCCUCCUCCUCCUCAGGAGCAGUGCACGCAUUCAGACAGUCCAUAGGAAAGCAUUCACAAUGCUUUCCUAUGGACGCUGGCGUCUUCUCACUGUGAUUUUCACAGUGAGAAGCGCGGAAACCCUCUAGCGGCUGUCAAUGAGACAGCCACUAGAGGCUGGAUUAACCCUAAUAUAAACAUAGUAGUUUCUCUGAAACUGCUAUGUUUAUAGAAAAAAUGGUUAACCCUAGCUGGACCAGGCACCCAGACCACCUCAUUAAGCUGAAGUGGUCUGGGUGCCUAUAGUGGUCCUUUAAAGGCUUUGAAUGUCCUUUUCUUAUUUUUCAUUUCUUGAUUCACUUUCCCACUAAGCCACAUUUGUUUCAAUUUGUUUCUUUUAUAUUUAUUACCCAAUGGUACAUACUGAGAAAUGUACCUUUCUAAUAUUUGUUGGCAGAUAUUCCAUUUAUCCUCAGUGUUCUUUUCACUAAAGAGUUUAUGCCAGUCAAUAUAUUGUAAUGUUCCCCUUAACUUAUUGAAAUUGGCCUUUUUUAAAUGAUAUGUUUUAGUAUACCACAUGUGCUUUUGUUUUUUGAGCUUUGAGUUUAUUUUGAAGGACACUAUAUUGUAAUCACUAUUUCUCAAGUGCUCACCUACUUGAAUGUUGGUCAAAAGAUUAACGUUGUUUGUUAGAACCAGGUCCAGACAAGCGUCCUUUCUAGUUGGUGCUUGUACAAGUUGUGACAUGAAGGUGUCAUUUAACUCCUUAACGCCCCUUAACACCUGGUCCGUCAUGCCUGGGAAGCAGUUUACUCCGGAUGACGGACCGGGUCAGUCAUGCGCUAAAGUUAACCCCAGAUCGCCCUAAUGGUGGCGAUCGAGAGGUUAACGCCCCUCCAGUCUGCCUCGGUAUUCAGAGCUGUCAGAGCGAGCACAUGUGCUGCAGGGACUCAUGAUCCUCCUCCCUGCUCUUCCGCGUUCUGUGUUAAGUGCAGGGAGACGGAUCAGCAGUGAUCUUCUCCCUGUGUAAAAAAAAAAAAAAAUAGUUUCAAAUCCCACCCCCCUUUAACCCCUUCCCUGCCAAUUGAUCACUGACUACAAAAAAAAUUCAAAACAAGUUUUAAAAAGUAAAAAAAAGUUUUAAAAGGUUAAAAAAAUACAUUUAAAAAUGCUCAUUAACACCACACCUGGAACAAACUAGAGAAAAAAUGAUACCACGCUAAUAUUCAAAAUAUGCCUUUUGAAUUACCCCGGGGUGUAUUCUUUAAUAAAUAGUAUGUUCAAUGUCCACAUAUACCUGGCAAAUGUACAUAUGAGGGUAUUGCUGUACUCAGACGACAUAGCUGAGAAACAUAUGAAGUAUUAUAGUCGUAGCACGCAUAAGGUUUGCAAAAUAUACUGUGCAAACUCACUCUGUGUCAAAAAGGUAGAAAAAUGCUUAUUACCACUAUACUUGGUACAAGCUAGCGGAAAAAUAAUCCCACGCUAAGGUUCAAAAUAUGCCUUUUGAAUUACCCCGGGGUGUAUUCUUUAAUAAAUAGUAUGUGUUUGUGGGGAAGUUUGAAUACCCAAGCAGCUAAACUACUCCAAAAUUGAACAUGGACACAGUGUAAAACUUCAAAGUUAGAAAAAAACUGGAAUGACUGUGUCUCAAAUAUGCCCCUUUCAAUGUCCACAUAUACGUGGCAAAGGUACAUAUGAGGGUAUUGCUGUACUAAGACGACAUAGCUGAGAAACAUAUGAAGUAUUACACAGUCGUAGCACGCAUAAGGUUUUCAAAAUAUACUGUGCAAACUCACUCUGUGUGUCAAAAAGGCAGAAAAAUGCUUAUUACCACUACACUUGGUAAAAGCUAGCGGAAAAAUUAUCCCACGCUAAGGUUCAAAAAAUGCCUUUUGAAAUACCCUGGGAUGUCUACUUUAAGAAAUGGUCUGCCUUUUGUGUGUAGCUGGAAUAUGUAGCCUGCUCAAGUGCUCCAAAGUUGGACAUGAACGCAUCAAAACCCUCCAUGAAAAUUCACACUUAACCGUUUAAGGACACGACAUGUGUGACAUGUCAUGAUUCCCUUUUAUUCAAGAAGUUUGGUCCUUAAGGGGUUAAAAACAUGAACUUGUCACGUCUCUUUUACAGCACUGUAACUUCACAAAAUAGUGUCUAGGUCAUACAUUGGCUAUAUUGUUUUACUCAGAAGAUGUAACUUAUCAGCAAAAAUGCAACAUAUAUGUAAAAAUUACAUUUUUAUUAUUCCCUCAACACAAAUAUUGACAUAAAUUGGUGAAAAAAUGGUGACAAGUUAAGGCACAAUAUACACCAUAUAAGAUAUCCUGGGGUGUCUGCUUUAUUAAAUGAAAGCCAUUUGUGGGGUUAUUUGAACAGUCACACUGAUAUAAUACCCUAAAAUGAGACAUAGGCCCGUCAAAUCCAUCUACGAAAAUUCUAACUAUAGAAACUGAAAUAGGGGGGGGGGGGCGGAGCUAGCCGCGAGUGCGAAUGGACGCUUGCUAACUGAGCUCCAAGAGAGACACAGGGCAAUCCGCAUCCAUCAGGCACCUACCACAUCAUGGGACACCCCAAACGCCUCUCGACGGCCCCCAACACGGCGGGCAAGCAAUCCGGGCUAAAACAAGCAACCUGACUAAAUAUCUCAAAGAUCAGGGCGACCGGCAAAAUGAGGCCGCAGGCUCCAAUAUGGCGCCGGACGACCCGGCAGAGCAAUCCUCAGCACCCUCCAGCCCGGCGGCAUCAGACAGCAUAUCACUCACAUCUGAAACUGAUAGAGACAAGGAUCUGAAAGAAAUACUCAGAAAUCUCCCUUCCAAGCAGGAUCUGGCUGCUAUGCUACAGAAACUUGAAGUGACCUUUCAAAAGAAAAUGGAUGACAUCUCCAUGGAAGUCAGACAGGUCAGUGAAAGGGUUAACUCCCUAGAAAAUGUUUAUGACUGCACAUGCACACAACUACAAGCCCUACAAAGCACUGUAGUAGCUCAUAACACACAAAUGUACAGGGCACUUGACGACUUGGACAAUAGGGGGCGCCGGAACAAUUUAAGGAUUAAAGGCCUACCUGAGGCUGAGGGGGAAAACCUACACUCCAUUUUGCAAGAACUUUUUAACCUAAUCCUCCAACGAGACGUAAUAAUGCCCAUUCUGCUAGAUAGAGCGCACAGAGCACUCAAGCCCAGGAACCCUGGAGGGGACUCCCCCAGAGAUGUAAUCUGCAGGCUGCACUACUACAGCGUUAAAGAGGACAUCCUUAGGAGCCUCCGCCAGACAUCCCAACCACUACUGUACCAUGGAAGACCAGUGCAAAUCUACCCAGACCUAUCCUGGAGGACUAAGUGGGUAAUGAAACCACUCACUCCUCUUAAGACCCAGGAAUAUACACUACAGAUGGGGAUUCGCCAUCACAGCAACACACAACGGGGUCACUGCCACCCUCUCAUCGGCAGAGGAUAUACAAACCUUCACCUCAGCCCUUGACCUUCCAGAAGUCUGCAUCCCAGACUGGUAUGGACCAAUACACCUGCCUCCACAGCACAAUGCCCCAAGACUGAGAGGACAGGCCCCGUCGAAGAGACGCUACAAUGACCAAACCACACAUCAAGGGGGACACAGACCGAGAGCAGGACCCCCCACCAAGUAAAAAUAAAUCUCCCUACCAACACCACCGGUCACCACCCGCCCUUACCAUGAUAUCCCAGACUGAGAGGACAGGCCCCGUCGAAGAGACGCUACAAUGACCAAACCACACAUCAAGGGGGACACAGACCGAGAGCAGGACCCCCCACCAAGUAAAAAUAAAUCUCCCUACCAACACCACCGGUCACCACCCGCCCUUACCAUGAUAUCCCAGACUGAGAGGACAGGCCCCGUCGAAGAGACGCUACAAUGACCAAACCACACAUCAAGGGGGACACAGACCGAGAGCAGGACCCCCCACCCAGUAAAAAAAAUCUCCCUACCAACACCACCGGUCACCACCCGCCCUUACCAUGUAUAUUGUGUAUUGGUCCAUAACCACGGUCUAACCCGCAUAUACGGACAGUAGAGACUCUAUUCAACGAACUGACCUCAUUGUUGGAUUCAUUUUGGCCCAGUUUGGAUUACAAGCGUGAACAAGUACAACGUACUCCCCUGGACUCCUACCAACAAGAGACGCUCUAGUGACUCAACCUACCCUAGAGGCCAAGAUCCACACACACACACCUUCCUUGGAAAAGAACACUCUAAUAUCCCCAACGUUAUGACAGACGAGUCAGGCCUCCCAAUCUCUACCAGAACCAAGGAUCCCAUCAAGCCUCACUCUGCUUGGCCCCAAAGGAGUAGGUAUCGCACUGCCUCUACUGCGAAUCCAGGACUAAAUUCUAACCACUUCGGAACUGUACAGACUCCUGAACCCAACCCUGCAAACCUUGAGCACUCUGUUUACUGAACGGCAAUGAUAUGCCUAUGGGAAGUCCAGAAGAAGACCCACUGACUGGUAUCAUACUUACUCUUAAACUGGUUUACAUUGUGUGAGCACAUUCUGCCUCCUCAAGCCUCUCCCCCCUCCCCCCCUUACUCUGUCUACCCUCAUACACCCCCCCCCCUCACCUACCUCUGCUUUACUCCCCGUCCCCACACCCUUCUCCUCCCCUACACCUCUCCCACGGUACUUCUCCUAAAAACCUGCAUGGCGUGCUCCUAGUAUGCUUCUAGGUAUAGUUGAACCAAAUUGUGUCACAAACUAAGGAGCUAUGAUUAUUGUUUUAUGGAUAUGUUCCAAAUGCCUGUCAUGCCAUUAUCCUAGUUACAAUACUGUACUAGAUGUCUUGGGUCCUUGCAGAGUUGGAAGAUGGUAUGCACGCACUAAUCACGGCCCAGAUACCGGACCGGCACUAACGAGCCAAUCCGACCCAGACCACUGAGCCCUCACCACCCAUUCCCAUCAUGACCGGUGACCACCAAAUGGUCCCAUAAACUAUUCCCCUGGACUUAAUUGCCACCAAGGGGAAAGCCACCGUCAAACAAGGCAGACUGACUCCACAUUCAAUAACAUCCCAACUUCCAGCUCUACAAGUGUAAGAGCUGAACUGUAUAUAGUUUAUUUGAUUGUUUUAUUGUUAAUUCUGUUUAUAUUUCGUUCUGAUCGCUACAUACUCACUCAACAUCACCACAACAUAACACUCACCCCCGCAGACAACAUGGCCAGUCUCACAGUAAUCACUCUCAAUGUCAGGGGCCUUAAUUCCCCCAUGAAAAGAGCGCUGACCCUCCGGGAGCUACGCAACCUAAAGGCAGACGUAGCUUUCCUUCAAGAAACCCACUUCAAAAUGGGCUCAACCCUCACAAUUCGCAAUCCCCACAGGAUACUAUGGGUGCUACAAAGAGGCCAAGACUAGAGGAGUAGCCAUCCUCAUAGGUACACACGUACCCUACACACACAUAAGUCACUAUGCAGACUCCAAUGGCAGGCUCCUCAUAGUGAAGGGUAAGAUAGGCAACACAAUGGUGACGUUUGCUAACAUGUAUUUACCUAAUACCAAACAAAGCACGCACCUGAAGAAAUACAUUACCAUAAUAAAAAGUCACAUGGAAGGUAUCCUAAUAACGGGAGGAGAUCUAAACAUGUGCCUAGACACCACAUCCAUGUCCACGUCCUACACACCAAGGACUACUCCUACUACUCUACGGUAAAACAUCCCUAUUCCAGACUAGAUAUGCUCUUCCUCCACCACAGACACCUACACCUAAUCCAAUCCUGCAACUAUGGCCCAAUCACCUGGUCGGACCAUGCCCCAUUGUCACUGGUUAUUCAAAUCCCUUCAUUAACACCCAACCGUACCCAAUGGAAACUGAAUGACACCCUACUAAAUGACCCAACCAUCAAUAAAACACUCACUGAUACACUACGGCACUACUUUGAGGAAAACAAACCCACCAUCUCCCCCCCACCAAUCAUCUGGGAAGCUCACAAGGCGGUACUAAGGGGCCACAUUAUAGCGUUAGCCUCAAAGCUAAAAAAACUGAGAGAAGCACAGACAGCUGACUUACUCAUUGACAUACGCCAACAAACCCACAAACAAAAUGUGUCCCUUGACAUAUACAAACAACUAGUGGACAAACGCACGAGACUACAAACACUUCUUAACUCCAAGGUUAAACGAAUGCUGCUAUGCACUAAACACACUUACUACACUCAAGGAGGAAAAUGUGGCAAAUUACUAGCGAGAGCACUCCAACAAAACAACCAACGGACAUACUUCACCACGAUCAAACAGAAAGACGGCACACGCACACACCUCCUACCAAACAUACUUAAGGAAUUCCACACUUUUUACUCAGACCUAUACAACCUGAGACAAGCCCCGCCCUCUAGUGAGGAUGUGACCAAUUUCCUUGCCACAAGGAUCACCCACACUAUCCCCCUGAAUAUCAGACAAACUUUCAACAGCCCCAUGACACCUGAGGAAUUCACUGCAGUAGUCAAACGACUCCCCCUGGGGAAAAGCCCUGGACCGGAUGGCUUCACAGCCAAAUAUUAUAAAACUUUCACCAAUGUCCUAAAAACUCCAUUCGUGGAUGCAUUUAAUGCGCUUACAUCAGGGCAUAACCUCCCAACCAAAUCCCUAGAAGCCCACAUAACCCUCAUACACAAACCGGGGAAAGACCCCGAAGACUGUGGGACUUACCGCCCCAUCUCUCUGAUAAACGGAGAUCUCAAGAUAUUCACUGUAGCGGAAUGCCAAUAUUAAAUCCACGAAUUCCGCUGGUUCAGGAAGUAAUCCACAGUCAAGCGCUGAAACAACAAGGCAAUAUCCCCAACCUCCCAGUAACCGGACGAAACACAGUUCUGAGAGUCAACUCAAGUCCUUUAAUUCUGCUUCACAAUUUAUACAAGUCCCCAUGCAAGGGGUUUCCUGAGUCCCCUCCCAGGGGCAUUCCUAGAGGGGACUACAUGGGGAACUUACAGUACAACACAUUUCUCCCAUCAGGCACCGCUGCACGAGAGGGAUCCUCCUCCUAGAAUAUGCCGUUAAGUGGAUUAUGCCCUCAUGCAGCAGAACCGACAAUUUAUACAAAAAUCCAUAACUUUGUGAAUAUACUGUUGAUUUGCACGAAUGGACGUUCGGUAGAUAGCUGGGGUCUGAGCGCAUCAUUCGUGAGAUUACCGCUCAGAUCCCAGCUAAAAUAACCAAACGCCGCACGAAAAACACAUUUAUUGAAAACCAUAAUGAAAAGACUAAUUGCCUUCCAGGGAAUGAAAUACCGAACGGCCUGGAACUCCCGAACGUCCUGGAGGCUCAGCGGUGUUCGUGCCGCUGAGGGAACAAAGGAUCCAAGAUGGCCGACCGCCGCAUGGUCGGUAGUCGAACGACGGCCACCCAGGAGAGCCUCUAAUUACCGAUUGCAACAUUGUUGCAAUCGGUUAACCAGCGCCACACGCCUCUAAGUGUGUGGGCUAUUAGGGGUAGUGUUUUCGGUUCACGAACGGCCCUCCAAAGUGCCGUUCGUGAAACGAAAGGAAAACCCCCAUACAAACAGCUAUCUGCAUUCGGCGGAUAGCAAAUACAGGCAAUUCAAUACAUUACAGUCAGCAUACAAUAUACGUAGUUAAACACAUAUCUCCCCAGACAUACAGGCAACCCUUAAAGGUACAGUCUCUGGUUAUAGUCCAAGUGGCUAGGUUUGCCACAAUGCUCCCCCAGAACCAAGCCGGCAUACACAGUCUGAUCCCAACGGAUCGGCUUGGGGAUGUCCGGGGGAGGGCGCACAGAUCACUUCUCAAGGUCUGUUUGUCUGGAUAACCCGUUGGCGUUACCGUUUUGUUUCCCGGGGUGAUAAUGGAUGGUAAAGUCAAAAGGCUGUAGCGCCAAACUCCAGCGCAGCAGCUUGGCAUUGUCUCCAGCCACACGGUUUAGCCACACCAAAGGGUUGUGAUCUGUGAGCAAGGUAAAGGGUUGCCCAUAGAGAUAUGGCUGUAACUUUUUCAGGGCCCACACCACGGCCAGGCAUUCUUUUUCUAUGGCGGCGUAGCUCACUUCUCGGGGUAACAAUUUCCGGCUCAAAUAUGCUACGGGAUGUUCUCCGCCAUCUGCUCCGACCUGGCUCAGUACUGCUCCCAAUCCAAACAUUGAGGCGUCUGUGUGGACAAGAAAACGUUUAGCCAGUACAGGGGCAUUGGUUAGAGCCGUCUUCAGUUGGUUGAAUGCCUGUUCACACUCUGGGGUCAGUCAGGGGUUUGGCCAGGGCACUGUAAUUGGGCACAACUUUUCUAUAAUACCCGGCGGUACCUAAGAAGGCAAGGACUUGGGUAGGCCACUGGGCUACGGCUUCAAUCUUUGCGGGCUCAGGCUUCUGUUGCCCGCUACCUACCCGGUGCCCUAAGUAUUGGACCUCCGCCAUCCCUAUGUGGCACUUGCUGGGUUUCAAGGUAAGCCCUGCCUCCCUGAUCCGAUCUAUUACAGCCCCUAUAUGUCGUAGGUGAUCCGACCAGGUCUGGCUGUAGAUGGCAAUAUCAUCCAGGUAUGCGCACGCAUAAUCCUGGAACCCGUCCAGUAGCCGAUCUACCAUCCGCUGGAAUGUCGCGGGGGCGUUCUUCAUUCCGAAUGGCAUGACUCGAAAUUGGUACAAGCCAAACGGGGUGACAAACGCCGACUUGGGGAUGGCAUCCUCGGCUAGUGUAAUUUGCCAGUAUCCCUUACAAAGAUCUAUUGUCGUGAGAUACCGGCCUCUGGCCAUCCUAUAUAGCAGUUCGUCUAUCCGGGGCAUCGGGUAAGCGUCCGACACGGUUUUGUCGCUCAACCUCCGGUAGUCCACACAGAACCGGGUGGUACCGUCUUUCUUGGGGACCAGGACUACCGGCGAUGCCCAGGGGCUAUCGGAGUGUUCGAUAACCCCCAACUGCAACAUCUCUUCAAUCUCCUUCCUCAUAUGUUCCCGCACGGAUUCAGGAAUCCGAUAUGGGGUUUGUCGCAUGGGAAGCUGUCCCGGGGUUUCUACUCUGUGAGUGGCCAGGGGAGUGUACCCAGGUAAGUUAGAAAAGGUGGCGCCCUUUGUCGCUAUCAGUUCUUGUACCUGGGUACGCUCUUGAGGACUUAGCCGCUCCCCCAGCUGAACCCCCUGGGAGGGCUCCUUCUGCUCCUCCUGCUCUAACAGAUCUGGAAGAGGUAAGUUCUCCUGAUCUUCUGAGGCGGGCGUGCAAAUAGCUGCCACGUCCUCCGUUCUCUCGUGGUAGGGUUUGAGCAUGUUCACAUGGAGCAUGCGUCGCUUCCCUACUCCGGAGCAUGGGCCGAUCACAUAGGUGGUAUCGCAUCUCUGCUCUACCACCUGGUAUGGGCCCUGCCAGACGGCCUGUAGUUUGUCUGUGCGGACAGGUUUGAGGAUUAACACCUUCUGUCCCACUUGAAAACUACGGUCUCUGGCACCUCUGUCAUACCAACGACGCUGUCGUUGCUGGGCGGCCUGGAGGUUGGUGCGCACUGCCUGGGUUAAUUCCUCCAGGCGAUCCCGGAACGCCAGCACGUAUGGUACAAUAGGGGUCCCAUCUGCGCUACUCUCUCCCUCCCAAUGCUCUCUAAUGAGAUCCAACGGUCCCCGGACCCUUCUCCCAACUAACAGUUCAAAUGGGGAGAAACCGGUAGACUCUUGGGGUACCUCUCUGUAGGCAAACAACAGAUGGGGAAGGAAUCGUUCCCAGUCCUUAUGGGUCUCUCUGAAUGUACGGAGCAUCUGUUUUAGGGUACCGUUGAACCUCUCACACAAUCCGUUGGAUUGAGGGUGGUAGGCCGAGUUAAUGAUUGGCUUAAUGCCACAUAUUUUCCAUAACUGCUGAGUAACCUCGGCCGUAAAUUGUGUCCCCCUAUCGGAGACAAUUUCCUGCGGGAACCCUACUCGGGAAAAGAUUUUCAUCAGGGCUUCGGCCACGGUCUCAGCGUGAAUAUUGGUUAAGGCAAUCGCCUCGGGGUACCGGGUGGCGUAGUCCACCACGGUCAGUAUAUACCACUUCCCAGAGGGGCUGGGUUUUGGUAGUGGCCCCACUAUAUCUACAGCCACACGGCUGAACGGUUCCUCAAUUAUAGGUAGGGGACACAGUUUCGCCUUGUGGCGAUCCCCUCUCUUGCCUUCACGCUGACACACAUCACAGGAGGUACAAUAAUGUCUUACAUCUUUAGAAAUCCCGGGCCAAAAGAAAGCGUGAGUUAAGCGAUACCGGGUCCGGGUCAUCCCUAAAUGGCCGGACAGAGGAAUGUCAUGGGCUAUUCUUAGUAACUCAAGUCUAUACUUCUGGGGUACUACCAGCUGCUUAGUUUGGAGAGUCACAGAGUUUCCUAUUUCCCUUUCAGCCACCCGGUACAAUAACUUGUCUUCCCAAAUGUACCGUUCCCCCUCCCACCCCACCUGGUCCGUGUCUACUCUAUCUCGGUACACCUGCAGUGUGGGGUCUGUCUGGACCUCUGCUUCAAAAGUGGUCGGGGUGUCCCAGGUCAUAUGCGUCAAGGGGGGGGGUCAUGGUUUCUUACCUGAGCCUCAGAGUGUGCUGGUGGUGCCAUGGUGCGAGCCUGUUGCCGUGUAGUUACCGGGUGAGCUUCUUGCGAAGGGGCCUGUGGUAGGAAAGCUGAAGUCAUCUGGCCCAAGUCAUUCCCCAACACAACAUCUGCCGGUAACUUCUUCAUUAUUGCCACUUCUACAACCCCCUCCCCAGCACCCCAGUUCAAAUGCACCUUGGCAGUGGGUAGCCGGUACAUGGCUCCCCCUGCUACCCUGACCGCCACUGAUCCGCCAGUGUGGGCCGCAUCUGGAACUAAAUGUGGAGCAACCAGGGUCAAAGUGGCUCCCGAGUCCCUCAGCCCCUGCACUUCCUUCCUCCCCACAAACACAACUUGGCGGUGAUGCUGCCUGUUGUCCGUGGCUUGCACAGACAUCACUUCAUAUAAAACCCCCAAUGGUUCCUCGGUUUGUGGACUUGCCAGCUCAGAGUGGUCAGGCUCCGUGUGGUAGUAAUGAGCUGCUGCCCUUGGGGUGGAGUUUUGCCGUACCUGGUUCCACGCCUGUCUACUCCGAUUCUGGGUGCACUCCCGGGACAUAUGCCCCCACUGCCGGCAGGUAUGGCAUUGUAUGUUGGCUCGGCCAUUGUAGCGGGAUGGUGGUGGAGGGUUCCCCGGUGCUGGCCGGAAUGGGGCAGAGUUGGUAGGUGUGGAGAUGGUCGGGUUGUGUUGUACUGGUGGUCUCAGGGGACCCCUGUUGGUGAGCCCAUGAUGCUUCCUGGCAUCAAAGUGUUGAUCUGCCAACCGGGCGGCUUCUGUGAGGGUGAGGGGUUUUCUGUCUCUUACCCACUCUUGUGCCUCUGGUGACAGGCCGUUAAAGAACUGCUCCAGCAGGAUGAGUUGGCGCAGUCUCUCCAUGGUGGUGGCUUGGCUUGCCUGAAUCCACCCUUGUGAAGCUUGGUCAAGCUUAUGUGCCCACUCAGCGUGGGAAUCUUUUUCUGGCUUCCUCAAUCCCCGAAAUUUACGCCGGUAUGCCUCCGGGGUUAUGGCAUACCUCUCUAGAAUUGCCCUUUUGUCUUUAAAAUAGUCCUUGCUGUCCUCUCUGGGCACAGCGCGAUAAGCCUCUGCUGCUCGUCCUGCCAACUUGCCUGCUAGUAGGGGUACCCACAUUGCCUGCUCCAGAUCGUGUAGGUCACAUAACCGCUCAAAAUCCUGCAGGUAUCCGUCGAUCUCAUCCUUCUCCUCGCAGAACGCUUUAAAUGCCUGGUAAGGUAUUUUCUGCAUUACUGGAGCGCAGAAUGAGUUGGCGAUGGAUUCUGCCCUGGAGGGUGCCCCCUGGGGCUGCUGUGCCAUAAUGUAGUCCUGGACGUCUGCCAUCAGUACGGUCAAGAUGUCCAGGGGUACUGGCUGAGGUACAAAUUCCAACCGGGUUCUCAGUUCCCUCUGAUAUGGUGUUUCCUCCCUGGCAGGUGGGGGUGGACUGCUGUGUGCUUGGUCGCCUUCCAUCAGCUCUGCAAUUAGUACUGCUUUGGAUUUGUUGCUAGCGUUUUUUCCUCUAGCCUCCAGCAGUUCCUUUAGCGUCUGCCUCUUUAAUGCCGUGUAAUCCGUCCCCAUUCACUGAUCGCUUUCGUCUGUUUGUUGCAUACGAAUUGCCUUUCCCUUUUUUCGUUCGGUUGUUCCUUUCAUUCGAAUGCGCUGUAUUCGGCUGUAGAGUUGGAUCCCGUCGCUUGCCACCAUUUGUAGCGGAACGCCAAUAUUAAAUCCACGAAUUCCGCUGGUUCAGGAAGUAAUCCACAGUCAAGCGCUGAAACAACAAGGCAAUAUCCCCAACCUCCCAGUAACCGGACGAAACACAGUUCUGAGAGUCAACUCAAGUCCUUUAAUUCUGCUUCACAAUUUAUACAAGUCCCCAUGCAAGGGGUUUCCUGAGUCCCCUCCCAGGGGCAUUCCUAGAGGGGACUACAUGGGGAACUUACAGUACAACACAUUUCUCCCAUCAGGCACCGCUGCACGAGAGGGAUCCUCCUCCUAGAAUAUGCCGUUAAGUGGAUUAUCCCCUCGUGCAGCAGAACCGACAAUUUAUACAAAAAUCCAUAACUUUGUGAAUAUACUGUUGAUUUGCACGAAUGGACGUUCGGUAGAUAGCUGGGGUCUGAGCGCAUUCAUUCGUGAGAUUACCGCUCAGAUCCCAGCUAAAAUAACCGAACGCCGCACGAAAAACACAUUUAUUGAAAACCAUAUUGAAAAGACCGAUUGCCUUCCAGGGAAUGAAAUACCGAACGGCCUGGAACUCCCGAACGUCCUGGAGGCUCAGCGGUGUUCGUGCCGUCGAGUAGCUGUUUUUAGUACCAUGCGCUCGACGACCUAGCACUGCUGAGGGAACAAAGGAUCCAAGAUGGCCGACCGCCGCAUGGUCGGUAGUCGAACGACGGCCACCCAGGAGAGCCUCUAAUUACCGAUUGCAACAUUGUUGCAAUCGGUUAACCAGCGCCACACGCCUCUAAGUGUGUGGGCUAUUAGGGGUAGUGUUUUCGGUUCACGAACGGCCCUCCAAAGUGCCGUUCGUGAAACGAAAGGAAAACCCCAUACAAACAGCUAUCUGCAUUCGGCGGAUAGCAAAUACAGGCAAUUCAAUACAUUACAGUCAGCAUACAAUAUACGUAGUUAAACACAUAUCUCCCCAGACAUACAGGCAACCCUUAAAGGUACAGUCUCUGGUUAUAGUCCAAGUGGCUAGGUUUGCCACAUUCACAAAGAUCCUAGCCGAACGACUCCAACCAUUACUUAGGGGGCUGAUCCACCCUGAUCAAUUCGGUUUCGUGCCUGGGCGCAAAGCAAAAAACAACACAAUGAAACUGCUCAGCCUCAUCUACGCCGCCCAAUCGGAACAUUCCCAAAGCCUCAUACUUACCAUAGAUGCCAAAAAGGCAUUUGACAGGGUGGACUGGUCCAUGCUCAAAUUGACACUGCAAGCGCUAGGCUUCGGCCCGAACUGGAGUAAGUGGCUCUCAGCCAUAUACUCCAAACCAGGAGCACGAAUACGGGUGAAUGGCCAACUUUCGGACGUGUUUCAAAUCACCAACGGCACGAGGCAAGGGUGCCCUCUCUCCCCCCUGUUAUUUAUUCUCACAAUGGAACCAUUCCUACAGGGAAUUAGGGACUGCCCGGAUAUAACGGGCUUCACAGUGGCACAAAACGAAUACAAGGUCACAGAGUUUGCUGAUGACCUUCUGUUCACAAUCUCAAAUCCAGUGACAUCAUUGACCCACCUCAUGCAACAAAUUGACCUAUACCACCAAGUCUCUAACUACAAAAUCAACGUCAGCAAGAGCGAGAUAUUCCCCCUCAACCUAUCCCACAAUACCCGAUCUAUACUUCACAAAACCUACCCAUUCCAAUGGCCCUCAGAUUCGGUCAAAUACCUGGGUGUCCAACUCAUCACUUCCCUAGACCGUACCUAUGACAUCAACUUUCCUCCCCUUCUUGCUAAGAUAGCAGCAGACCUCAAGGCUUGGAACAAGCCACAAUUUGGAUGGCUAUGCAGGAUCCACAUCCUAAAAAUGAAUAUACUCCCCAAACUUCUUUACCUGCUACAAACCCUCCCCAUUAAAAUCCCUACCUCCUUCUUCGCACAAGCUAAGCGGACAUUUACAACAUUCAUAUGGGCGGAAAAUCCCCCCAGAUUCCGAUACGACUGCCUCACCAAAAGUAAACAGAGAGGUGGCCUGGGUCUCCCUGACCUGGAGGCGUAUUACAAAGCUCACACCCUAAGAACCUGGCAUAACAUCAGGAGGGACCAAUAUAUAGCUCCACACCCCUCACCGCUCUACCCACUCACGACAAUCCAGCCUUCCUACCGGGCUCUAACCCAAUCGCUCUCCAAAGUUUCCCUAAACAGACCCACACACACACUUUAGGUGAUGUCUGCAACGACAAAGGGAUCAUCUCACUAGAGGACCUCACCCCCAAUGCCGAACCCUCUAGCAUGCUCAGACUCAGACAUGCACAAAUUAAACACUUCCUACACUCGGACCCAAUACUCCUCCAGGGACACAGGAACCCCACGCUAUUCGAAACACAAUGUUCUCAACACACACUACGUAAGGGUCUAAUCUCAUCCUUCUACAAAACAAUCCGCCACAGUUAGGAUGAGAUCCUGCCAAAUUACACCACACACUGGGACAAAGAACUGUCCACCCAAAUACAGGCUAAAGAAUGGCACAAAAUUUUCCACAACAUCUUCCAUACAUCCAGGAGCAAUAGCACCCACGAAAGCAACUAUAAGCGAGUUGCCAAGUGGCACUAUACGCCAACUCGCAUUAACAGGUUCUUCCCUAACACACCUAAAACAUGUUGGAGAUGCAAACAAGCUGAGGGAACCUCAGGCCAUAUUUGGUGGCUCUGCCCCGUGAUCCAGGAUUACUGGAAAAAGAUUGCCAACCUCAUACGCACCAUCACUGGCAUCAACCUUCCCCAAAACACCUGAAACCAUGUUAUUCCUAACAUACCCCCAACCACUAAACAAGCGCCAAUGCAUCUUACUCAAUCACCUCCUAACGGCAGCCAACACUCUAAUCCCCACGAUGUGGAAACAGACCACAGCCCCGACUAUUAGAGCCUGGAUUGCCAGGGUUGACUCCAUUAGAACAAUGGAGGAACUAUCCUACUCCUUCACUCUCAAAUAUGACGAAUACCACACCACCUGGACACCUUGGCUCCAAUUCCUCCAAGGUAAUCACGGAUAAGUUGACAGCCACCACUUCUCCCAUCAGGCCUAAACCCCUAUCCACCCUCGAACAUUGCCAACCUCCCAGGCUGAUAAGUCGUAUAAACCUCCCAAACUGUUAUGCACCUAAAUAUACCACCAUCCAGUGUCUACAUCCACACAUUACUGCUUUAUUCCUACCACAAGGUAGCAGCGUGCACCACCUUGCAAUACCCGAUGACCGGCUAUAACAUCAUCCCACACUUUGCACUUUUUAACAUAUAUUGUACUCUAGUUUGCCUUCCACAUUGUACUAUUGUGUAUGCAGACAUCAAAGCCAUAUGAACUUCACCUACACGUAACAAAAACCCCUAUACUACAAACACAGGUUCUCCACUGAACUCUCCCUGUUAUCAAUAACGUCGAUAUACUUGUACCUAUGAAGUAUCCUGUUAUAUUGAUGACCUCAUUGUACUGCUCAUAAUACCUCAAUAAAAAAAGUUAUAAAAAAGAAACUGAAAUAGCCUUGUCUCUUAUCUGGCAUUGUAGGUUUACAGAAUAGUGCCAAAGGCAUACAAUGGGGGUAUCUUUAUACUCAGCAGAUAUAGCUGAACACAAUAUGGGGUUCUGUGCAGGAAUAGCACACACCAGUUUUACGAAAUACACAUUACAAAAAUCAUGUUAUUUGUGUACAGGUGAUACUCAAAAAAUUAGAAUAUCGUGCUGUGAUCCUUGUUUGCAGGUAGCACGGUCCUCUAGGGUAAACAAUAGGCACAGUCCUUGUAAUUGCAUAUACUCCAGGCACUUUAUUUGUAAAUCCACACAGGAUACAGCAGUAAAUGAAAACAUAAAUGUAACACAAAACCUUAUAAACAAAAACCUAGCUCGUCUGAGCACUAACUGACAUUAGGUUCCCUAUCUCUCAGGGUUACACUAAACAAAACAAUAUUGGUUUCACCAACCUAGAGUCUUUGUCCACUCUCAGCACUCCAGUAUUUAGCCAGCCUGCUGCUUCCAGCAUUUCAGAGAGAAACAAAACAUUCUCUCCCUACCUGCCUAGCAGGGAGGGAUUUAUUCCCACUGCUGCAGCCGAUUACCUGCAGCUGAGCAGUAGGUUGGAGACAGUCCAAAACCCUGGGCUGGAUCUAUGUCUUCCAAGAAAACCGCUAAACUGCGAAGUGGAGCACUGGCCCACCCUGCUCUCCAAAUGCUCCACCCCAGGGGCCCAUAAUUAAAUAUUCAUUCUGGUUACAUACACAGAAACAUACACUCCCCCCGGGGUUAAAAAUCAUAUGCCUCUCUGAACAAUUCUGUCGAGAUAUAGACCCCAUUCACCUUAUCACAGUGCAAAAGUUCAUUUAUUUCAGUAAUGCAACGUAAAAGGGGAAACUAAUACAUGAGAUAGACGCGUUACAUGCAAAGCAAGAUAGUUCAAGCUGUGAUUUGUCAUAAGUGCGAUGAUUAUGUCUUACAGCUCAUGAAAACCCCAAAUCGACGAUCUACGUAAAAUUGAAUUUUACAUGCAAUCAAUAAAACAAGGAGUGUACAUAGAACACUAUCAGACCUCUGAAAAGUAUGAGCAUGCAUAUGGACUGAGUACUUGGUUUGGGCCCCUAUUGCAGCAAUUACUGCCUCAAUGCGACGUGGCAUGAAUGCUAUCAGCCUGUGGCACUGCUAAGGUGUUAUGGAAGACCAAGGUGCUUCAAUAGCGGCCUUCAGUUCAGUCUCAUAUCUCUCAUCUUUCUCUUGGCAAUGCCCCAUAUAUUCUAUGGGGUUCAGGUCAGGCGAGUUUGCUAGCCAAUCAAGCACAGUAAUCCCACGGUCAUUGAACCAGGCUUUGAUGCUUUUGGCAGUGUGGGCAGAUGCCAAGUCCUGCUGGAAAAUGAAGUCAGCAUCCCUAUAAAGCUCGUCUGUGGAAGGAAGAAUGAAGUGCUCCAAAAUCUCCUGGUAGACGGCUGCGUUGACCCUGGACUUAAUGAAGCACAGUGAACCAACACCAGCAGAUGAUAUGGCUCCCCAAAUCAACACAGACUGUGGAAACUCCACACUGGACUUCAAGCAUCUUGCAGUGUGUUCCUCUCCAUUCUUCCUCCAGACUCUGGGUCCUUGGUUUCCAAAUGAGAUGCAAAAGUUGCUCUCAUCAGAAAAUAGGACUUUGGACCACUGAGCAACAGACCAGGUCUGUUUUUCUUUAGCCCAAGUAAGACGCUUCUGACGUUGUUUGUUGUUCAGGAGCGGCUUGACAAGAGGAAUACGACAUCUGAAGCCCAUGUCCAGGAUCCAUCUGUGUGUGGUGGCUCUUGAUGCACUAACUCCAGCCUCAGCCCACUCCUUGUGAAAGUCCCCAACACUUUUUUUUUAAACUUUUUUUUUUUCUUUAUUUGAUUGUGCACAGAAAUUAACAGGUAGCCCUGAUGCGUCACAACAGCGUCUGCAGGGUAGAUACAGAAACAUUUGCAUUAUACAGUGUGGCAUUUGCUGGACAGGCACAUUUUUAUAUAUAUUAGUAAAAUCAACAUUCUAACUGGAGAUAGUCUGGUGUCACAUGUGAGUUGAGAACCUACUAUGGUUUGUUACAUGCUGGGCUCACAAGAGGCAUCUGGUGGCACAGCGUUGCUAACAAGUGCAUUUGUAAUAAGUGUCUGAUAUCAUAGCAUUUCACUAGGGCAGUAAAUAUGGGUGUAAGCCCAGGCCAUGGAGGCAAGGCUGGCCAAUGGUGAUGUGCAGUAGAGUCCUCUCUGGCAGCCGGUGCCCACAGUGUCAGUGCCAAGGACGAAUGUUACUAUACUGGGUGGCUUAAUAUGUUUAUUUUUAGCUAGGGCAUUAUUAUCUAAGGAGUGUUUGCUAGGUAAGUGGGUCUGGUUUAGGCGUUAUGCCUGGCUUUUGCAGUAUAAGGAAACCUGAGGGCACAAGAACUCUAGCCCAAAACAAUAUAAGUAAAAUAUAAAUAGAAAGACAAUUCUGAGGCAUUAACCACUAGUUGUGCGGUUGGACUUUACUGUGUAUCAUUACUGGGUAGUGCAAGUCCCCUUGACAGUUCUCAGCAGUCAGCCUAUGCCCACUCUGGAGGACUGCGGUAUGGAGGUGCAGCGUCUGCGGAUUGCUGUUGUGUAUUGGGUCAGCCGGUGGGCACUGCAAUGUAGCUUCCAUUCCUCUGCAAGAGGUUUGAGGCAAUUCUCCUUGGAUUUUCUUGCAGGACCUUAGCCUCCGCGCGCUGGCUCGGAGUCUUGAGUAGUUUCCCUGCUUGGGCAAGUGGUGGGUUGCUGCCGGCUUUGAUCGCCGUCUGCGAGUUUUCUGCCUGUGUUGUCGUUGCGCUGGGGGGUGACCCCUGAUGGCCUGCGGCCUGAAAUGGUAGGUAGGGCGCAGAGCAUCUGCGUGAGGUAGAGUAGUGCCCUCGAAGAGUCCACCCCUCCGUCGCACUCGGGUCCCCCGAUCUCCAGCUUGUGUACUUGGUCGAGGUAAUGCCAUACAAGCCUCAAGGUCUGCCCAGAGGUUUUGGAAGUGGAUCUUCAGUCUCCGCAGGCAAGUUUCAACAGCGUUACUUCGAGUCUGCGUGGUCGGUGUCAGUGUAAGCCCAGGAAGGAGGACCACUGCCAUUUUACUUGACGAGGUGGAACGAGAGAGAUUAGGUAUGCCCUCAGAGUUGUGGGGUACACAGUGUGGACCGGGAUGACCCCCACCGGUCCAAAGGGGGGGGGACAGGUUUCAGACUCAACUAAGCCCGCGGGAAUCCACUAAGGAGGUCGGCUGUCACUCCCAGCAGACACCGCACUAGGCCGCUUUCUAGAGAAUCAGGCGAUUAACGUGAGGAGCCUUCUUCCCUUGCGACUGCUCAGCAUGGCAUCCAAGCCCCACCCCCCAUCUCCAACACUUUUGAAUGGCCUUUUCCUGACAACCCUCUCCAGGCUGCGGUCAUCCCUGCUGCUUGUGCACCUUUUUCUUCCACACUUUUCCCUUCCACAUAAUUUUCUAUUAAUGUGCUUUGAUACAGCAUUUUGGGAACAUCCAACUUCCUUCGCAAUUACCUUUGAGGCUUUCCCUCCUUAUGGAGGGUGUCAAUGAUGGUUUUCUGCACAACUGUCAGGUCAGCAGUCUUCCCCAUGAUUGUGAUUCCUACUGAACCAGACUGAGAGACAAUUUAAAGGCUCAGAAACCCUUUGCAGGAGUUAUGGCUUACUUAGCUGAUUAGAGUGGGACACUGUGAGCCUAGAAUAUUGCACCUUUUCACAAUAUUCUAAUUUACUGAGAUUGUAGAUUUGGGGUUUUCAUGAGCUGUAAGCCAUAAUCAUUGCACUUAUGACAAUUCACGGCUUGAACUAUCUUGCUUUGCAUGUAAUGCGUCUAUCUCAUAUAUUAGUUUCCCCUUUUACGUUGCAUUACUGAAAUAAAUUAACUUUUGCACGAUAUUCAAAUUUUUUGAGUUUAUGCCAAAAUAAAGAAAAAACACAAUUUUACUCCCAUAUUUAGCAGAGAUUGGCGAUGAAAUGGCAACAUGAAAAGUGUCAAACUAACCUUAGGUAAAUAGUCUGUGAUGUCUUCUUUAUAUAAAUAUAUACUUUUGUGUGGAAUUUUUUUUUCUGUGAUGGCUACUAAAACCUACGAGACAAACAUACCAACUUCUAAAAUUUUUGCAAAUUGAAAUUUUAUUUUAGUCCUUGUAUUUUGUGACCUGUAACUUUCAAAAUAAGCUGAAAUCCUAUAAAUAUGAUGUACUCUAUAAAUCAAGACACAUAAAUGAAUUUAUUUUUAAUUAUUUUUUUCUAAGCUGGAUAUAUUACGCACAUAUUAUUAUUGCCAAAACUGUGAAAUAUUUGAACAAAAAUAGUUUUUUCAAUUUUUUUGCAUUCUUUUUAUAAUUUAUGAGAAUGUAUCUAUGUAUCAAACUAAAAAGCCCUGUUUGCCCUCUAAAAAAUUGUAUAUAAUAUGUGUUGGUGCAAUAAAUGACAGAGAUGCAAAUUGAGUUUGAACAGAAACAGCAAAAAAUGCAAAAAUGGCUUGUGUCCUUAAGGGGUUAACACAUUAAAAAAAAAAAACUAAUUCCCUUUUCUGAACUACUAGUUGCAAACAUUACUGUUGUACUAAACCCAAGAUCCUAUAUUGACCUAUUAUCUUAUAUGCUCUUUCUUCCCUUCUUUUUCCUUCCCUCUCUUUCCCUUUCUCUUCCCAAUAUUUCACUUCCUCUGUAUCAAUUUCCCUUUUUCUCUCUUUUUCCUUUUCUUUUUUCCUCUUCAUUGUUCUUAUACUUCCUCUCCCUUUUUCUCUCUCUUCAUUUAUGUCAUUAUUUUUGAUCUUUUGUAUCCAUACUUUCCAUCUUUGAAUAUUUCUAUUACUAGUGUUAAAAUGUCUAUUUAUGCCAUGUUCCACUUGACAUUGAUUCAUGAUUUGGUAUUUUAUUUCUUUUGUACUUGGAGGGUAGUAAGCUUUCCAAUUUUAGCUAUAUUUAAUUUUGUGGCAACUAAUAUAUUGAUAAUGAAAUUUCUUGUAUCUUUACCUAAUCUUUUCCAUCCACUAUGAAGUAAUGCCGUGGCGUCCAUAACUCUAUCAAUUCAAAGAUUUUCUGCCACAUCUUUCUUAUCUUGGGGCAUGACCACCAUACAUAUACAUACACAUAUGGUGGUCAGCUCUCGUUUCUCCGCAUCUCCAACAUGUUGGAGUUUGGUAUGUUUUCGAUAGUUUUAAGGGGCCAUGAUACCAUCUGUUGGUUAACUCAUAUUGGGUGCAACUCAAAGGGUGCAACCUCAUUUAGACAGUGAGUUGCACCCUUUGUUUGUUUCAGCAUCUUUGUCCAUUAUUUUAUUCCUAUAUUCCAAGAGCCAAUAGUCAAUAUAGGUGUUUGUAUUUUGGCAUAAAGUAAUUAAAUAUGAAGCUUUUGUUAUCAUUUUGCUAUUAUUUACAUCAUUUAGCAUUUGAGCAAAGAGUUUUAUUUGAGCUGUAUUGUGGGAUAUUCUAUGUUUUAUUAAAAAAAAGUUUUUAUUCUUAUAUAAGAGAAACAAUCUUAGAGAGAUAUGAUCAUAUUUUCUCUGAGGUUAAUGAACGGUUUUAUCUCAUUGUAAAUGAUGGUCUCUCAUUUUUCUUAUUCCUUUUUCUCUUCAGUGUUCUAUUGGGGUGGUACUUACCUUAUCCGGGGGCCGGUCGUGGUCCUCAACGUGCUCGAGCACUCACGCCUCCACACAAGCCGCAUGGCUUGAUCUCCUCUUCUGAGCAGUCACUUGGCCAACCUCGCACUAGGAGCGUUGCUCGCGUCACAAGCGCGCUCUUAAAGGAACAGUGGGAGCAUCAAGUGGGUUCAGGCUCCCAUUAGCCCACGUCAUUCUGGCACCCCCACACACGCACAUUUUGGAGGCGUAGGUAUGACCUGGGCCAAUCAAAUGGUAAUUAAAGGCUAUUUAAACUUCCCUAGCCCUAUCCACUGUGCCCUAUUUUGAUUUCUGUUUCAGUACCCUUUAGUGUGUUCCCUGAUCUAUUGUGUUUAUUCUGGUAUUGAUCUUGGCUUGAUUACUGACUCUUAGUUUAUCUUUAACCCUUUCAUGUAUUGUUUGCCCGUCUGACUGAUUACUGUGUACCUGACUCUGGCUAGUUCUCAUUUUCCCUGUCUCUCACUUACCAUGACCUCAGCUUGUCUCUAUGGGAUCGAAACAUUGCACUCUUUUCCAAUAAACCUGCUGAAUUGAUCCUUGAGUGCCUGGACUACAAUUUUUGUUCAACUACGCUUUAUCUCUGUCUGAGGUUUAGUCUGGCUAUUCUAAGGCCCGGUAAUACGAUAUAGCCCUGUCUUGUCCCUUGAUAUCUUAAACUCUGCGUGUUGG